rfam:Scleropages formosus scaffold6807, whole genome shotgun sequence.
CCAGUGUUCCCUUGUGGCCCAAAGUGUCCUACAGAAAAGCUUUGGGAUGCACCCACAUGGGCCUGC